CAUUAGUCAGGUGUGAGGUGAUGGAUAUGUUGACUGACUUGGCUGUGGUGAAUAUUUCACAAUGUAUACAGAUAUCGAGGUUAUCAGGUUGUAUACCUUAAAUAUAUACAAUUUCAGUCAUCAAUUAUACCUCACUAGACCUGGAAAAAAGAAACCUUUAUUUUGAAUUUCUACAUAGAUGUUUGGUGUGUUUUAAAUUCUACUAAAGUUUUUCAAAGUUAUUUUAUAACUUUAAAAAUAUUUUUGCAAAAAAUUCAAGUUUCAAUUACUUUAUCUUAAGGACUGUAUACUCUGUUACCUGGAAUAAACAGGGAAAGCAAUAUUGUAAUUUAUCAGCUGUUUUAGGUAAUGCACUAUUACUACAAAGUUGAGGAAGACAUGAUUUCUGACCUUUGGGAAGAACUCCCAAUUUAGGAAGGAAGGCAUGUUCAGCAAACAUCCCAGCUGAUGAACAUCUCAGUCAUAUGUUUUUUAGAGAACACUUAUGGUUCUGCAAAGAUAACACUACAAUGAGCUUUCCCAUUCUGAAGCAAAGAUGUUUGAAGAGAGGACGGGGUCUGUUAUUCAAGAUAAUAAUUUGUUUUAAUCAUAAAACAUUCCAAAGAUGUCCAGCACUGCAGCUCAGAAAAAAUAUUCCACCCAGCACAGCAGGCCAUGCAUGAAGCGGGUGUCAGCAAGCCCAGCAGAAUCAGUCACUGUGAAGACGUCUAAUAGGAACUGCUGAAUACACAAUACAAGGCAGCAUGGCCUGAAUGGCUAAAGUGGAAUGGCCAGAAUGGAGUCCGAAAACUCAUCCGAAAUUGUAAUUAAA